AAUGCUGUCAUUAUUCUCACUUCACAAAUGAAAACCCAAAGCUUAGUAGCAUGUCCAAGAUUACAUAACUAGUCCACUGCUGAAAAAUCAUUCCUGAAAAGAUGAGGACACCAAGCAGUGCCUCUGGACCACUGAAGUCAAGACCUUUCCCUGGAACUCUGGAUGAAUAUAUCCAACCAAAUACCUACUGGAUAUUGUCACAUGGAUUCUCAAUAUCAACAUGUCUAAAGCUGAAUUCAACUUCUUCCCCUUUCAAAGAACCUUUCCUAUAAUAAAAGUGGUAAACACUUCCAUAGUACUUUCUAUGUAUCAGGCAUGAUUCAAAUCACUUUGCACAUAUUUACUCAUUUGAUCCUCAGAGCAAUCUUAAGACAUACAUAUUAUUAUUAUUGUCAUCCCAUGAAGAAACAAUGGCACAGAGAGGUUAAGUAAUCCUCCCAAGGGCUCACAGUUAGCAGUCACAAAGCUGAGAUUUGAACUCAAGCUGCCUGGCUCCAGAGGCCAUGCUUUUAACCACUGUGCUAGUCUCACUCUGUCACCAGUUAACCAGUCCCCAGGACUGGACAUCUAGGAAUCAGCUGUCACCUUCCCCUCACCCCUUCAUCUAAACAAGCUUGUAUUUCUCUAUCCCAUGCCUCUCUUCUCAGACACAGUGCUCCAUUUUUGCAAACCAUUCUUUGCAAAAUGGACAGUCAUUCUUAAAUGACUCCCCAACACAGGGAGGACUGUGUCUGACCCUGCCCUGCUCCUUAGCUUUAUUCCUUCCCUCCUCCAGCUGAAGCAAAAGACUCUCUAGCAACACUCAGUGACUUCCCAUUCCUUUAAACACAACUUCUCCUGUGGAUUUUCUCAUGCUGUCCUCCAACCUGAAGGCUCUUCCUUUUUCCAGCACACUUCUCCUAAUUUCUAUUCAUUCCAAAGCUUCAGUUCAGUGUCCUUUUGCCAGCAAGUCUUCCCUAAUGUCUCUACUACCACCAUUUGCCCUCUGAGUGGGCUGGUUAGUACCACCCUUCUCAUGUGCUUUAUGGUACCUCUUUCUCCCUGUUUUUCUUUUUCCUUUUUUUUUUUUUUUUUUUGAGGUAGGGUCUUGUUCUUUUGCCCAGGCUGGAGUGCAAUGGUGCAAUCUCAGCUCAUGGCAGCCUCUAACUCGUUGAUUCCAUCAUUGACUUCUAUUUCACUAUUCAUUCUGUUCAUUUGUCUGCCCCCUCUCACCAGAACCAUUUGCUCUGUGAGGGCUGUGACUGCACUUGAUGAAUCUGAAAUUCUGUAGCA
rnacentral:lncRNA from 13 species